rnacentral:rRNA from 1 species
CCAAUAGCGUAUAUUAAAGUUGUUGCAGUUAAAAAGCUCGUAGUUGAAUUUCGGGGUCAGUAGGUUGGUCAUGCCUCCGGUAUGCACUGGUCUCACUGAUUCCUCCUUCCUGAUGAGCCGUAAUGCCAUUAAUUUGGUGUUGCGGGGAAUCUGGACUGUUACUUUGAAAAAAUUAGAGUGUUUAAAGCAAGCUAACGCUUGAAUACAUUAGCAUGGAAUAAUGGAAUAGGACGUUCGAUCCUAUUUUGUUGGUUUCUAGGAUUGACGUAAUGAUUAAUAGGGAUAGUUGGGGGCAUUAGUAUUCAAUUGUCAGAGGUGAAAUUCUUGGAUUUAUUGAAGACUAACUACUGCGAAAGCAUUUGCCAAGGAUGUUUUCAUUAAUCAAGAACGAAAGUUAGGGGAUCGAAGACGAUCAGAUACCGUCGUAGUCUUAACCAUAAACUAUGCCGACUAGGGAUCGGAUGAUGUUAAUUUUUCUAAUGACUCAUUCGGCGCCUUACG